rnacentral:tRNA from 1 species
GGAAUAGUUUACAUAGGUAAGUUAAAACGAUUGCUAAUUGUUCGGGAAAUACCCUUAGGGGUUCGACUCCCCUCUAUUCCG